rnacentral:tRNA from 2 species
GGGGUUGUAGCCCAAUUGGCAGAGGCACAUGACUUAGGAUCAUGCCAGCGCGGGUUCGAGUCCCGCCAACCCCA